CCGCCGCGGUAAUACGAAGGGGGCUAGCGUUGUUCGGAAUCACUGGGCGUAAAGCGCACGCAGGCGGAUCAUUAAGCUAGGGGUGAAAUCCCGGGGCUCAACCUCGGAACUGCCUUUAGAACUGGUGAUCUAGAGUCCGGAAGAGGAUGGUGGAAUUCCUAGUGUAGAGGUGAAAUUCGUAGAUAUUAGGAGGAACACCAGUGGCGAAGGCGGCCAUCUGGUCCGGAACUGACGCUCAGGUGCGAAAGUGUGGGGAGCAAACAGGAUUAGAUACCCUGGUAGUCCACACCGUAAACGAUGAGUGCUAGAUGUCGGGGGUUUGACCCUCGGUGUCGCAGCUAACGCAUUAAGCACUCCGCCUGGGGAGUACGGUCGCAAGAUUAAAACUCAAAGGAAUUGACGGGGACCCGCACAAGCGGUGGAGCAUGUGGUUUAAUUCGAGGCAACGCGAAGAACCUUACCAGCUUUUGCAUCCCGAUCGCGGAUAUCAGAGAUGAUUUCCAUCAGUUCGGCUGGAUCGGUGACAGGUGCUGCAUGGCUGUCGUCAGCUCGUGUCGUGAGAUGUUGGGUUAAGUCCCGCAACGAGCGCAACCCUUGCCCUUAGUUGCCAGCACAUAAUGGUGGGAACUCUAAGGGAACUGCCCGGGUUAACCGGGAGGAAGGUGGGGACGACGUCAAGUCAUCAUGGCCCUUACAGGCUGGGCUACACACGUGCUACAAUGGUGGAUACAGUGGGCAGCGACCUCGUGAGGGGAAGCGAAUCUCCAAAAUCCAUCUCAGUUCGGAUUGCAGGCUGCAACUCGCCUGCAUGAAGUUGGAAUCGCUAGUAAUCGCGCAUCAGCAUGGCGCGGUGAAUACGUUCC
rnacentral:rRNA from 1 species